UCGAGCCCCACGAUGGGCUCCCUGUUCACUGGAGAGCCUGCUUCUCCGUCUCCCUCCUGCUUGUGCUCUUUCACUACCUCUCUCUCAAAUAAAAAUCUUUAAAAAAACAAAAAAAUUAACUCACUGCGGUAUGACUCCAGUUGAAGUGCCGAACAGCCUUGUAGGAAACCAUAAAUCUCUCUAGCAAUCUUCUAAGAAAAAAUGUUGACAUUGCAUGAAUUUGUUUAGCAUUUAAAAUCACAGCUACCAUUUGCUGAGUGUUUCUGCUACUGUGUGCCAAGUACAGUGCUGGAUACUCUAGAUACAUUAUGUCUGCUCCUCUCAGAAAAUCGCCUGCAAAGGUAGGUGUUAUUCCUGAUCUUCUUACCAUCUCCAUCUUAUAUAUGAGAAAUUAAGUGUCAUGUUCAAGAUCGUUGGCAAGUUCCUCCACAGGAAUAUACUUAUUCCAAUUCAGAGUAACAACAUAAAAAUUGAGCGUAAGUUUACUUUAGAAAAAGGAGAAUGGCUGUUAUUUUUUCUGUCCUCCAGGCCUUCAGCCUAUUUUUUAAAAAGGCCCUGUAGUAAAGAUCUUUGGAGGUGUCUUUAAAAAGCUGAUACUCACUUUCUUACCUACCAUCCUCACUCCAGCCAUGGGAUCCUAACAGCCACUUUUAAGAUUUUUUCCUACUGGUCUCUGUUGAUUCAGCUGAGAGUCACCUAAACCAAGCUGGGCCGAUCAAGAAUUUCCUCACUCUUUCCCUGGGAAUUUUAGAAUUGAGAUGGGAGUUUUUCUGUAGAGUUGGAACAUGAGGACAUUUUCAGAUUUCCCUGUGGGCCAACUAGCAGUUAACCCCUUGUGUUGAGCAAGAAAAAUAGAAUCUAUGUAUUAAGCAGAACUGAGAGAUGGAGAAGAAACUCCGUGGGUUCCUAGAGAUUUUCCAGUUUCCAUUCCCGUCCUUUCUAAAGCUGUAUUCUUACCCUUGGGUUCUUUGUAUAAGCUAUACCCAAUUCUAUAAUUCCACUUUGAAUUUUAUACUAGCUGGAGUUUUUCUGUUAUUUGUACCAAAAAUAGUCCUGAUACACUGUCAUUCCACUUUUCAUUUAGCCUUCAUGCUUUCUAGCUAUUUUCACAAGAAGGAAGGGCAGGGAGCAACCAGGGACAAUGUCCCAGAGUUCUAAGUAGUGUCAUGAAGACUAAUCCACAAUAAAGAGGCUUUUAAAAACUUCAGAGCAAGAACAGGAAGAAUGUGCCUGCUAUUUUGUGGUGUAACGUCGACAGUAAGACCAUAGAAUUGUUCAAUUUCUAUGCAUACGGUAGUUAACACUAUAAGAAAGAAGCACAAUACUCAAACUGAACAAGGUAGAAAAGCAUGGAAAUGAAGGUGUUAAGUCCUGAGGCUAUGGUAAGAGAGAACUGUAAAUGUUUCAUCUCUGGGUCCAUAGUCCCAAAUCCAAUUGCUGUCAUGUUAUGAAACUGCAAAUUACAAUUUUUGAGGCAUUCUAAAGAAGAAAAUGAUCAAAUGAACAGCAUUUGAAGUGGGAAAGAGGUGGGUUCUGGAAACCACUUGAGUAUGAUGUUCCUGACAUGAUUCUAGUUGACUUGUGUGCACGUAGAAGUGAUAUUCCUUAGGAGACCUACCAUUUCAGUGAAUCUGGAUUUCAGCAGAGUACUUGAGGAAGCCUGUGUGAUAUGCUAGUGGAUUAAAUGGAGAAAUGUGGCUGGUUGGUCUGCAGUGGAGCAAUGGAGCAAAGGCUGCCUGCUGGAGGAGUCCCAUGAUGGUGGACAUAGCUAGGCCCUUGCGUUCCAGACUUGCUGAGAAGUUGAGGCAUAGCUUACGUUUGCUAACAGCUGAAGGUGAUCAACUAUCCACAUCCCUGUUUACAGAAAAAAGCAAAUAGGCAAUUAGCAAGUAACUUAAUAAACCGGAGAAGAAUGAAAGCUAAGUGUCCACAGGCGGCAGUGGGAGGAAGCGAGAAGCAAGCAGAUUCAAGCCCGAGAGGCUUCUGCAUGAGAGACAGUAGGUAUCCCCACAGCCCGGUGAGGUGGAGCCGAUGAAAGUCAGCUAAGAAGCAGCAAGACCCUCCUCCUUACCCUCUUCAACUACAGCAUGUUACCACUUCACCCUCCACCCUACAGAACGCUGGCGCUUCUGCUCGCUGACAAAGGGAAGAAAGGUAAAGGCUCCGCCCACCAAGGUGGGAUGCUAAUCACAGAACUCGCCGGCCGCGGGAAGGCUUGCAGCUGGGAGCGAUGGGGAUCACCUCGGGGAAGCUGCAAACCCCAGAGCCGCAGGGAGCCCUGCAAAGAGGGCUGUUUUAUCUGAGGGCCAGAACGUGGAAAAGGCUGGAAAGCACUACGUUUGGGUCACUCUCCAGGCGCAGAUUAAAGCCAGCUUUCGGAGCAGACUGGCUGGAUGCCGCAUCGUGCCUGUUACCCUGGUCCUGUUGGCAAGAAAACAGACCUAACGCUGUUCAAAACUACCUGCAGUGCUGAGGACCCACUUUGUCUUUAUGAAUAUUGUCUAUUCCUCCAGUUUAAAGAAAUCUAAAGAUUAGUGGGGAGAGCAGCUGGAUGAAGAGAGAACUUCUGCAAUGAGAAGUCUGAGAGGCAGAAGGCAGCCCUGUCUAAACCCCCUACCUCUUCCAGCCACCUAUCUUCUCGGGGAAGCCUCUGCAGCCGGUUUUUCGUCAGCUCAAGUUGGAGGCCAUCAAACCUGCACUUAAACCAGCGAUGAGCUUCUUCCAGGUUUAUGUUUCUUCUACAGAAUCCAGAAAAUCUAGGUGCUCUGAUGCUGGGUUUCAGUACACAUCAUUCACUGCUCUUCUCUGAGAAGACCCCGCGGAAGCCUCUCACCUGGCACCGGCUCUCCAGUUCCUGCC